GAUGAACGCUGACAGAAUGCUUAACACAUGCAAGUCAACUUGAAUUUGGGUUUUUAACUUAGGUUUGGGUGGCGGACGGGUGAGUAACGCGUAAAGAACUUGCCUCACAGCUAGGGACAACAUUUGGAAACGAAUGCUAAUACCUAAUAUUAUGAUAAUAGGGCAUCCUAUAAUUAUGAAAGCUAUAAGCGCUGUGAGAGAGCUUUGCGUCCCAUUAGCUAGUUGGAGAGGUAACGGCUCACCAAGGCGAUGAUGGGUAGCCGGCCUGAGAGGGUGAUCGGCCACAAGGGGACUGAGACACGGCCCUUACUCCUACGGGAGGCAGCAGUGGGGAAUAUUGGACAAUGGACCGAGAGUCUGAUCCAGCAAUUCUGUGUGCACGAUGAAGUUUUUCGGAAUGUAAAGUGCUUCCAGUUGGGAAGAAACAAAUGACGGUACCAACAGAAGAAGUGACGGCUAAAUACGUG
rnacentral:rRNA from 1 species